ensembl:lncRNA
UUGUUUUAGUUUUUGUUUUAGUUUUUGUUUUAGUUUUUGUUUUAGUUUUUGUUUUAGUUUUUGUUUUAGUUUUUGUUUUAGUUUUUGUUUUAGUUUUUGUUUUAGUUUUUGGUUUUUUUUUUUUGUUUUUUUUUUUUUGUUUUAGUUUUUGUUUUAGUUAGUUUUUGUUUUAGUUUUAGUUUUAGUUUUUGUUUUAGUUUUUGUUUUAGUUUUUGUUUUGUUUCCAUUUACCUUGUUUAGUUUUUACUUAUUUUGUUUUAUGCAUUAUUAUAUUUUUAAUUUGAUUAUUUAUUUUAUCACUUUUAAUAAAUAAAGUUAUACAUGAUGGCUAAAAUUGAUAAUGUGCUCAAUACAAAUUGUAUUAACAACAACCACGUGUUAGAAUAUAAAAAUAAAAAUUUAUUAUCACAUCAUGAUAAAGAUAAUUUUAGUUAUUACGAUUCGAGUACUGGAAUGAAAGUGACUAAUAAUAAAAAAAUACACAGUCCCUUUUGUUUUAACUUACAAAAUUUUAAAUACGUAACAGCUUUUAAUAGUAAUGAAAAAAAAAAAAAAAAAAAUAUAGAACAUGUUAUACAGCAAAAUAUUAAAAAUAUAGAAAAUAAGCACAAAAUGGUAAACUAUAAACGACACAAUAUAAAAUGUUGUAAUGCUAAUAUUGAAAGUACUAAUGGUAGUAGUAAUACAUGUAGUAUCAAUAGUAAGAAUACAAAUAUGUGCAACAUGAAUAAAAAAAAUGAUACUAUAUUAUUCAAGUCUAAUGAUGUACAUAAAGGCUUUGGAGUGAAUAAUGCAAAUAUGCUAAACAGUACAACUGGAGAUACAACAAAGUUAGAUAGUAAACGAUUAAUUAAUGCAUCUGAAGAAUCCACAAAAUUAGGUAACAUACACUUAAAUAGCAAAAAAAUAGAAGAUUUUUCAAAUGCAUUUAAAAUGAAUAAUUUAAAUAGUGAAACUUUUAUACGUUGCAAACAUUUAAAAAAAAAAAAAUACAUAAAUAAUUUUGUAAAAACAAAAAAUAACAUGUCAGAUAAAACGAACAAUGUAGUAAAAAACAAUAUCAAUUCUAAUACUAAAAAAAAAAAUAGUAAUAUUGUAAAUAAAAAUUUAUCUAGCAAUACAUCAACAAAAAACAUAACAAAUAAAGUCGAAAACACAAAGAGUACUAAUGAAAAAAAAAUAGAUGUAUCGAAUAUAAUCAAAAAAAAUGAUAAUAAUGGAAUUGAUUUGGAAAAUAUACGAAAUAAUACAUUUUCUAAUGAUAUGAAAAAAAAAUCUUGCGUUGUUAUUGAUAAUGUACAUACUAGCACAGAUGGUAACCAUGAAAUUACUAACAAUAAAAAUAACCACUCUAGCAAUACAACCGAUUCUAACUAUGCAAAAAAUAAUACUAGCAAUGAUAAGAUAAUUUGUAUGACCACUAAACAUGAUAAACGUUACAAGCGCAAAAAACGUAAUAAUAAUGGUAAUAAGGGUAGUAGUAGUAAUUCCACUAAUGACAGUAGUAAUGUUACUAAUAAUGGUACUAAUACUACUACACAUAAUGGUAGUACUACUAGUAAUAGUGCCAGUACUACUAGUAAUAGUGUCAAUACUACUACUAAUAAUGUCAAUACUACUACUAAUAAUGUCANNNNNNNNNNUAAUAAUGUCAAUACUACUACUAAUAAUGUCAAU